UACAGAGGUCUCAAGCGUUGUUCGGAUUCAUUGGGCGUAAAGGGUGUGUAGGUGGCGCCGUAAGUCGGGUGUGAAAUUUCGGAGCUUAACUCCGAAACUGCAUUCGAUACUGCGGUGCUUGAGGACUGGAGAGGAGACUGGAAUUCAUGGUGUAGCAGUGAAAUGCGUAGAGAUCAUGAGGAACACCGGUGGCGAAGGCGGCCAACUGGACAGAUACUGACGCUGAGACUCGAAAGCGUGGGGAGCAAACAGG
rnacentral:rRNA from 1 species